GUACAAGACCCCUGCAGCCUAGAACAACAGCUCCUUCGCCCUGCCACAGACCAAGCCCCGCAGGAGCAGCUCCCGGGCACAGGUGGAAGGAGCUGAAAUUUUCUUGCUAAAACUUGUAUCUCCUCUAUGAUAAUGGACUCAAGAGCACCCAGUUAUAACACUGGGUGUAAUACAGGUGCUUCCAGUUUUCUAUUUGUUGAAUUUUGCCUGGUGCUCUUAAAAUAAAAUGAGACAAGGUGGGUGAGGAAAUAUCUUUAAUU